UGCACAAAUGUGAACUGUAGGAUACCCAUGGAGGAUACCUCCUGUAUAUCGCAGACAUAUAGAAUAUCGACUGCCAAUCGUAAAACAGAAGAAUAAAUAUGUGCUUCAUGAAUGUUAACGUGUUCAUCAGUACUUACAAGUCGGUUGGUGAUUUCGUCAAUAAUUCUGACGCUGAUCCCUGUAUGCUGGCUAAAUACGCAAUUAUGGGUGUCGAUAAUAUUGAGAGUUGUAAGUGUAAGAAGUGUCAUUAUGGGAGGACAGAAACAGAUGGCUUGUUUUUGGCUCGCUUACUGAUGAUCGUGUGUGUCAGGAGAUGAGCUUCCUAAAGGAGAACCAGGCAGGGCCUCAGGAAAAUGUGUGUGUGAAGACUCAAAGGAAUUAAAAUGAAGCAAAUUGUGUCUCGUUCUUUGCACCUGGAGAAUGUAUUAGUGUCACAACCAUAAACUUACUCAGGUGAAUUUAUACUACCCUGCUUGAAAGACAACUCAUACUCUGAGAAAGCCCUCUGUGGAACUUCAUCCAGAUAACAACAGUGGACAUUACAAAAGUCGUAAUUAGAACUUUACAUACAGAGCAAGAACAAUAAAUGUAUUGGUCCUAGUAA